UACGGGGGGGCAAGCGUUGUUCGGAAUUACUGGGCGUAAAGGGCUCGUAGGCGGCCAACUAAGUCAGACGUGAAAUCCCUCGGCUUAACCGGGGAACUGCGUCUGAUACUGGAUGGCUUGAGUUUGGGAGAGGGAUGCGGAAUUCCAGGUGUAGCGGUGAAAUGCGUAGAUAUCUGGAGGAACACCGGUGGCGAAGGCGGCAUCCUGGACCAACACUGACGCUGAGGAGCGAAAGCCAGGGGAGCAACGGGG
rnacentral:rRNA from 1 species